rnacentral:misc_RNA from 1 species
AGCAGCCGCGGUAAUUCCAGCUCCAAUAGCGUAUAUUAAAGUUGUUGCAGUUAAAAAGCUCGUAGUUGAAUUUCGGGAUCAGUAUGUUGGUCGUGCUUCGGUACGUACUGUCAUUACUGGUUUCUACCUUCUGAAGAACCUUGAUGUCAUUAAUUUGGUGUCUUGGGGAAUCAGGACUGUUACUUUGAAAAAAUUAGAGUGUUUAAAGCAAGCAUACGCUUGAAUACAUUAGCAUGGAAUAAUGAAAUAGGACGUUUGAUUCUAUUUUGUUGGUUUCUAGGAUCGACGUAAUGAUUAAUAGGGAUAGUUGGGGGCAUUAGUAUUCAAUUGUCAGAGGUGAAAUUCUUGGAUUUAUUGAAGACUAACUACUGCGAAAAGCAUUUGCCAAGGAUGUUUUCAUUAAUCAAGAACGAAAGUUAGGGGAUCGAAGACGAUCAGAUACCGUCGUAGUCUUAACCAUAAACUAUGCCGACUAGGGAUCGGGAUGAUGUUAUUUUAAU